UGGGGAAUAUUGGGCAAUGGAGGGAACUCUGACCCAGCAAUGCCGCGUGAGUGAAGAAGGUUUUCGGAUUGUAAAACUCUUUAAGCAGGGACGAAGAAAGUGACGGUACCUGCAGAAUAAGCAUCGGCUAACUACGUGCCAGCAGCCGCGGUAAUACGUAGGAUGCAAGCGUUAUCCGGAAUGACUGGGCGUAAAGGGUGCGUAGGCGGUAAAUCAAGUUGGCAGCGUAAUUCCGGGGCUUAACUCCGGAACUACUGCCAAAACUGGUGAACUAGAGUGUGUCAGGGGUAAGUGGAAUUCCUAGUGUAGCGGUGGAAUGCGUAGAUAUUAGGAGGAACACCGGAGGCGAAAGCGACUUACUGGGGCACAACUGACGCUGAGGCACGAAAGCGUGGGGAGC
rnacentral:rRNA from 1 species